rnacentral:rRNA from 1 species
AUGAUGACGGAACUAACAGAAAAAUACCAGCAUCCUUUACGUGCCAAACUGAAAGUAAAGCCUAAGCUAGGAGGAGGAGCUUUCCAGGGCACGCUUACUGCUACCCCCUGCUCGACCUACAAAACACACUUUAAACAUCAGGACCGCACAAAGGUGCCAAAACAGACCAUCUCUGGAUCUGUAUCACCAGGAAAGGCACAACAGGACCAAAAGGAACGCAAAUUGGUGGCACUUCAAUCUGGAACUAGCAAUCAAGUAGGGCACCCAAGUUGCACAACAGAUCUAUCCCGCCAGGAUGAAUUAUUUAUCCAUGGCAUGUAA